ensembl:lncRNA CCDST cervical cancer associated DHX9 suppressive transcript
GGGGCUUUGGGAGCUUAAGGGCGCCGGCACGCGUUCCCCUGGCGCAGAGCUCGCUAGCCGGGGCGCGGGCUGCCUCCUUGUUCUGGUGUGAUCCGAAUGUAACGGAGCGGACUUUGGGAUCCAGAACCCCGGACUGAGGUUGUGCUUGGCUUGAGGGGCGGGCUGGAUUUUUCCUCUUAGGAUUUAUUUCCCUGGAGACCUCAUGAAGAAUGAUGUGGGUUCUAUAGGGUACAGUGUGAUCUGGGUCCUGCCUAAUCUCCUUUCUAAACUUCAGAAAAUCAUGUACCUUGGAGUUGUGGAGGCAUGUUUAUAAGCAGAUCUGAGUUUUGCCACACUGGAAUUUAUUUAUUCAUUGAACAAAUAUUUAAUACCUACUACAAUUCUUAGCCGAUAUCCAGACAACUUGGAGCCAAGUCCCCACAGCUGGAUCAGACAACUUUUGGUGACAUCUCACAGUGUGGAUUAUCAAGCCAGUGUAUCAGUCUGGAGCCUAGGUUUUUUGCCUUUAGCUUUGCUCAGGAUGACUUCUGCUCUUCUAUGGCAAUACUUGAGAAGCUACAGCUUUGAUUAGACGAGAGGCUAUUUCAAUAACUUUCUCCUGAUAAGAAGACCACCGACCGUGGACGGAUUCUGGCCAGUUUACAAAGGCUGCAUACCAUAGGGCAGGGCACCCCACUAUGGCAAACACUAAUAAUGAUAUUGCUCCUGAUUUUGUUUCUGAAGGGAAUGCCUCUAAGAUUUCUUCAUUAAUUAUAAGAUCAGUCUACGCAAAUGUGUUUGGGUGCAAUGUACCUGGCAAUUUCAUGGGGCAGUCGGGAGGACAGUGUGGCUGAAGCACAGUGAGUGAGAGGGUCCUAGGAACAUGGAUGCUGAGAUGGUGUCUUCUCCAUAUUUUCAUGGCCAGACUUCCUGUUAAGGCUGGAGGUGAGAAGUGGAAGGACCACUUUCUACGGCUUCCUCCCCAGCCCCUUUGGAUGGAUCUUCAUACACUCUGGUGCCCUUUCUUAUCUGUGAGGUUUGACCUGACACUGAGUUGAGAGUCCGAGGACCUGGGUUUAGUCCUAUUUCUGCCUCUUUCUUUCUAACUGCAUAACUUUUGACAACACUAAAGAAACUCCAUUUUCUUAUUUGCUAUGAGCUUGAUUAUGUCUAUGUUUCCACAGUCACAUGUCUGUGUAGGGAUUAUGUUAAUUUAUGUAUGUGACAGGAAAGAUUAGGAUAUUCAAUUCCUUUAACAAAUAAUUAUUGAAUGCUAGGCACUACUUCAGACACCAAAGCAACAGCAGGAACAAAACAGGCACAUGUAGUAUUGCUGAACUGUACCAAAUUCCUCUCCACUGAGGCUCAUUUUGCAUUCCCACCAGAAGGUGUGAAAAUGCCUGCUUUACCUCAUCAUCAUCUAUUCUCAAACUUGUAGAUUUUUGUCAAGCUGAUAGUGAGAAUGGUAUCUCAAACUAGUAUAGUUUUGGUUU